AUUGAACGCUGGCGGCAGGCCUAACACAUGCAAGUCGAGCGGAUGAAGGGAGCUUGCUCCUGGAUUCAGCGGCGGACGGGUGAGUAAUGCCUAGGAAUCUGCCUGGUAGUGGGGGAUAACGUCCGGAAACGGGCGCUAAUACCGCAUACGUCCUGAGGGAGAAAGUGGGGGAUCUUCGGACCUCACGCUAUCAGAUGAGCCUAGGUCGGAUUAGCUAGUUGGUGGGGUAAAGGCCUACCAAGGCGACGAUCCGUAACUGGUCUGAGAGGAUGAUCAGUCACACUGUAAAAUAGGCAGCGCCCGGAAACCGUCGCGAGGCAACAGUCCGGAAUAUUGGACAAGGUACGAGUGCCUGAUCCGACCAAGUGGGGUGAAUAAUGACGGUCCUAUGCUUCUAAAGUGAUUUAAGUUGGAGGGAAGGAAAAUCAGUUAAUACCUUACUGUUAUGACGUUACCAAAAGAAUAAGCACCGGCUAACUUCGUG
rnacentral:rRNA from 1 species